rnacentral:rRNA from 1 species
GUGGGGAAUUUUGGACAAUGGGCGAAAGCCUGAUCCAGCCAUGCCGCGUGCAGGAUGAAGGCCUUCGGGUUGUAAACUGCUUUUGUACGGAACGAAAAGACUCUGGUUAAUACCUGGGGUCCAUGACGGUACCGUAAGAAUAAGCACCGGCUAACUACGUGCCAGCAGCCGCGGUAAUACGUAGGGUGCAAGCGUUAAUCGGAAUUACUGGGCGUAAAGCGUGCGCAGGCGGUUAUAUACGACAGAUGUGAAAUCCCCGGGCUCAACCUGGGAACUGCAUUUGUGACUGUAUAGCUAGAGUACGGCAGAGGGGGAUGGAAUUCCGCGUGUAGCAGUGAAAUGCGUAGAUAUGCGGAGGAACACCGAUGGCGAAGGCAAUCCCCUGGGCCUGCACUGACGCUCAUGCACGAAAGCGUGGGGAGCAAACAGGAUUAGAAACCCUGGUAGUCC